UAUCAUCAUCGGUCGUAAGGAGUCGGUCUGGUCCAAUGGAUAAUGUUCGGGCCGAUUCUGAAAACCCGACCCGGCCUAAUCUUUUCCCAAAGUCGGUCUGGUCCAACGGAUCUUCUUCUCUCGACUCACAGCCUCUCUUCCGAAUCUUCCCUUCUACUGUCGCUCAUCUUCCACGACGAAGUCAGCUCGACGACGGCCAAGAUCAGUGUUCUUUCUUCUUCCAUCAGUCGUGUCUCGCCUGUCAAAGAGAGGAGCUGAAGCUUCCUCUCCCAGCCCGACGUCGACAGCGAUUAUGGUGACAAACUCGUCCGUCGGUACUAAUUGUUCUUCCCGAAGAUACAUUGCCUGCAAACAAGAUGUGGUAUCCGAUCUCCUUCUCAUCUCUCGAUUUUUCGAUCUGGUUCCAUACCUAAGUCUUUACUCUCAACACUUGACUAGGGCAUUCACUGUAUCUUUCUUCUUACUUUGAUUCAAACAAACUGACACUAUUCAUUCCCCUUUUCUAUAUGAAUUUGACUGUCGAGAUGAGUUCAGUGGGGAGGAGGAAGGUGGGCCAUGUGACUAAUGGCUCCGGUCUAUCAAGGAUCAAGGAAGAAGGCCCUCGGCCAAGCUAGGUAACACUCACGUUUGUAUUCUAGCUUUUCCUUCCCUAUGAGCUUAUGUUGAUUUUUAUACGUGGGAUGAUUACUAGAUCACCUAGAAUGAUUGCGGAGACCCAGCUUUCUAACUGAUUCGUAUUGUUGUUUGUAGGAUUGGGUUGGUUCGAUGACUACGAGAUUGAAUUGACACUGACUAGGGGAUCUUCAACGAAAUCAAGCAAAAAGGGAGGAAUCUGAGUCGGCUACUCUGGAGGUUUGUCCCUUAACUCUUUACCGCAAUCUUAGAUGGUGAUAUUAAGCUUGUCCUUGACUCUAUUUGUCUACAGUAGGACUUGAGAAACGCAUAAAUUGAUUGGUUUGGCUGCCAACUUAGUUUGCUUAACUGUAAAAUUUGGUGAACACAACAAAAACAUUUUGGGUUGCUUGUUCUCUGAUCUUCAUGACUCCUAUUUUUGUCUCAUAAUGAGCUUCUCCGAACUAACGAUCAUGGCUGUCAGUUAAAGAGAAGACUACGGGAAAGACUAAAUUUGACCUAGUAGACCAUUGCCUAUUAGCAACAGCAUUCUACUAUGUAGUAAUAAUGGCUGAGGUUAUGAUGAUUUUGUGGUGGUUUCAAGCAUGUCAGUGGCUGAUUUUCGAGGGUAGGAGGGUAGGAACGGGUUGGUUGAUACCUUUGUUUGAUUAUCAAGAUUGACAGCAUGCUAGAGUUAACUAGGUGUGUUCGUUCAAUCUAAAGUCCUUUAAAUUUUGGGUCUAAUUCUAUCCUCCUCAUCCCUAUAUCAAACACUCGAUCUCCACUUUCUCGAUCUCCACUUUCUCGAUCUGCCUUAACCAUCUAUCGAACAGCAAAAUAGGCCCCGGACCAUUAAAUAAAUAAUAAAAAUAUUUUUUAUCGGGCGCAGACGAAAACUGGUAACCACUACUUUUUAUAGAUUAGUCAAAAUAUAAUUAUCACUUUUUAAAUGUUGUUUAUUUUUAUUUUUCAAAUCUAAUUAAAUUCAUUUUGAUUUAUUUUGUUUAUUUUUUUAGUAAAUGAUCAUAUCAUUAGUAAGUGUUAAUUACGUCUUAAGACUAACAUACUUACAAAAGUUUUCGAAAUGGAUGUUAAUUUAGAUAUUUGUGUAAAUAAAAUCCACAACUAAUUCAACAUAUAUAUUAUUCUCAUGUGACUGUUAUGUACAUUUUACAAAUUUGUUAUACCAUAUUAUGUUCACUUUACAAAUAUGUUAUGCGAACUUUACAAAUAUCUUAUGCGAUAGUUAUGUUAAUACAUAUGUUAUGUCACUGUUAUGUCCAUUUUACAAAUAUGUUGUAUCAUAUUAUAUGAACUUUUACAAAUAUGUUAUGCGACUGUUAAAUUAGUAAAUAUGUUAUGCCA
rnacentral:lncRNA from 1 species